CUUUUUUUUUUCUAGAAGUUCCCUACUGUAGACAUUCCAGGAGUGGAAGGUGCCAGGAGCAUGCAUAAUUCAUUUCUGAGCUGCCGGCUCCUGGCAAAGUGUCUGACAUGUGUUCCAUGAGAAAACGAAUGCUUGCCAGGGCCUCUUCCUCCCUCUUCAGAAUGCUUCCUUACAGCCAAGGCAGGGUACAUCCCAGUGACUCCAAACAAGAAAAGGAAUGGGCAGCAGUUAUUGGGAGACGUCCAGAGAAUGCUACCCAGCCUUUUGCCGUCUUGAUGCGUGGUGGUAGGGAAGAGGGAAGAGACUUGUGUGCAUAUAACCAUGUACAGUUGAGGUUCAGGAAGAAACUCAGCAGAUCACUAGAGUCCUAAGCGUUCUUGAAGCGGCUGCUUGGUGACCAGUCGCACUCCCAUCUCACAACCCCUGCAGUCAGUGUACUGACCGCUGUCUGGAGAGUGUGUCUGUGUGUCUACUCUGAGUAUCGCAGACUCCUUCCCCUGAGCUUUGCCUACAGAAACUGCCACCGUGAGGCAAGCGGCAAAAGAGCCAGAGAUAGAAAAGGCCUCAACCACGGCCCAUACUCGAGGUGGGAAGUGUAAUGAUGCCUUUGAUGGAUGAGUUAUUGCACGUCUUCCCUGGUGGGAGGUAGACUCGUCAAGCAAAGUGGGAGGCAAUGGUUAUUCCCCGGCAACACAAGAGAGCCUUUGUGCUUUGCUCGCAAGUGCGAGCAUUUCUGUGCUAUUUACUUUCUUUCCAGAGAAUGGCCUCAGCUCCCCAAAAAGGAUGGUUUGAAAAGUAACAAAUUAUGGUGCUGAGGAUUUUAUUCAUUCAGACUCUGAGCGCUUCAUUGAGUAGUACAUUUUAAGAACAAAGAUCAGAGCUGGAGGGAGCCUGGAGCAGCCAUGUGUGUAGAACAGCCCGAAGACAUUAGUGAGUAUUCAGACUUUGAGCUGUGUAAAUAUCAGACUUCGCUCCCAGCCGUAUGAGAUAUUUGAGCAGUUAAGGAGGAAAGGGAGGUUCUUUGAAUAAAACGUUUUGCCAAACUG
rnacentral:lncRNA from 1 species